AGAUGCGGGUCUUCUCUGACGGGAUCUCACAGCAUUGUGGAAAAUUGAUAUGGAUGGGAAAGUGAACGAAGCAGUUGAGAUAUGCUUUGGGUCUUUUCACCGUUAUGCACAAUAUAUGAAUUUCUCACACCCCUUGAUCAAGGAGAAGUUUGAACUUGAUGCGUGGAGGAAGGGAAAAUGCAUUGAAGCAGAAUCUUAAUGAAAAUUGAACACUAUGAAAAUUAGGUACACUUUCACUGGGAUUGAUCAUAAUCUACUCGACAACCACGUGACUAGAAAUAUAUCUCAAGGAUUUUUGUGAACUUGUCAAUCCUCUACCACCAUUUGACUAGAAAGGCUAAUAUGAUAGCUUGGACUUAUCAUCUGGAGGUUGCACUUGAAGGAAUGAUAGUUUGGCCU